rnacentral:rRNA from 1 species
AUUGAACGCUGGCGGCAGGCCUAACACAUGCAAGUCGAACGAGUGGCGGACGGGUGAGUAAUGUCUGGGAAACUGCCUGAUGGAGGGGGAUAACUACUGGAAACGGUAGCUAAUACCGCAUACCAUCAGAUGUGCCAAGAGGGGAUUAGCUAGUUGGUGGGGUAACGGAUGACCCAGGAGGCGAUCCCUAGCUGGUCUGAGAGGAUGACCAGCCAAACUGGAAAUGAGAAACGGGCCAGACUCCUACGGGAGGCAGCAGUGGUGAAUAUUGCACAUGGGGCGCAAGCCUGAUGCAGCCAUGCCGCGUGUAUGAAGAAGGCCUUCGGGUUGUAAAGUACUUUCAGCGGUGAGGCGUUACCCGCAGAAGAAGCACCGGCUAACUCCGUGCCAGCAGCCGCGGUAAUAC